rnacentral:misc_RNA from 1 species
GUUGUUACCAGUAACGAGACUGAAAUUCUCCUCGACGGAUUGAGGGGCUUCGGAUGUGGUUGCGGUGGUGGUUCGAUUCCGAGGAUUGGCGACAGAACCGGCGCCACCGCCGCCAAGAGAGAGACGGCCGGAGGGGCGGUGAGAAGGUGGUAGAGGAAAAGAGGAGUGCGGGCGCUUUCCUCCGGCUCCCCGUCCCGCGCCGCCGCCGGGUCGGCCGAGCUUGGAUGGGCCGCCGUACAUUGUGAUGGAAGAGAGAGAAGAAGACGACGGAAGGUGGUCGAACCAGGUUUUGG